GGCCGACUGGCCUAAUGGUUAAGGCGUCAGUUUCCGGUUCACCGGAAAUGGUUGUGCACACUAGCUGAAGAUUCUGGGUUCGAAUCCCAGGUUGGUCG